rnacentral:rRNA from 1 species
UACGUAGGGAGCAAGCGUUGUCCGGAAUCAUUGGGCGUAAAGCGCGCGUAGGCGGCCUCAUAAGUCCGUUGUGAAAGUCAAAGGCUCAACCUUUGAAAGCCGAUAGGUAAUACGUUGUGAGGCUAGAGUCCGGAAGAGGCGAAGUGGAAUUCCUGGUGUAGCGGUGGAAUGCGCAGAUAUCAGGAGGAACACCAAUAGCGAAGGCAGCUCGCUGGGACGGUACUGACGCUAAGGCGCGAAAGCGUGGGGAGCGAACAGG